GAAAAGAAGGUAAGGGUUAGAGAGAACUAGAAAGAGAGAGAAAAAAGGUUUACAGGCACAAAGGAGGCUUCUCUCAGACGAAACGAAUAAAGAACAAAAAAAAAAGCUGAGAAGAAUCCAUAAAAGGUGACAAAAGCAAGAAGGAGAAGCAAACAUGUAUCCAUAUCUUGUCUUCUGAUUCACACACAAGAAAAGAAUGGAGGGUAUUGAUCAGCAUUACUGCAACAAUGGUAGUGGGUUUCAAGAAGAGCAUUUUCUUUAGAGAAGAAGAAAAAAUAGUUUCAUAACUCUUCAAUGUCGUUGAUCAGAUUCAUUUCUAUGUCUUUAAUGUAAUAAUCUCAUUAAACAAAAAAUAGUGUGACGGUUUGGGAAGUAGUGAUAUUGGCGGAAAGGCUCAAUCUCCUUGUCACAUUAUUAAAUCACUUUCUUUGUUUUCUUCUCUUUAAUUUUAAUUUAGAGGUAUGAUUUCUUACUUCAUGUAUUUAGUUAUAUAACUUGUUUUACAUCUUGCUGAAAACAAAAUUUAUUAACUACUUAAACUGUGAGCUUUUUCAUAUUUACUUUCCAUCAAUUAUGCAAGAAUUUGGCUGGAAAAUGC
rnacentral:misc_RNA from 1 species